UAAAUUCGUCAUCAAUCAAGGUAGAAAUUUCGCUAAUGGGAAUAUAACAAGUAAUUGUAAUCCACUUGUAAAAUUCGAUUUAAUAUACUUAUUUCAAGUUUUAAAUCUGAUUAGAAAGGGAUUACAAUUAUUUUAUCAAAGGUAAUUACUCAAAUUAAUUCGGGAUAAAAGUCAAUUGCUUUUUGUAAUGACAAUAAUUAUUACCAUAAAAGUAGCUGAAAUGGUGUAAUCUUUGUUCAUCCUAGUUUUUGCUGGAUUCUAUAGGUAAUUAAAUUUUUAAACAGGCCACGUUUACUUUUACAACUAUAUUCGUAUUACGACAAUAAUUUUGAAGCAUUUCAAUGGCGUUCAACAAAAUGGCGACUAGUAUGAUACUAGUACUUUUACUUAUCUAUCAGGUUACAGGGCAAACAACUGUGCCACCAACUACCGUUGGAUCAGUUUCGGAGAAUCCAGCAUAUAAUACAACUGGUAUUAUUUGCACAUCCGAAAGAAUCAUUGAUUUCAUCAAUAUUGGAACCACAUACAUUCCCGACAUUAUGAAAUGUACUGAAAAAAUGGCAGACUUGGGAUAUGAUUAUCUCGUUGCAAUGAACGACUUCUAUAACUAUAAUUUCGACGACUUCCACCAUGAUUUUGAUCAUCGCGCCAUUUGCAAUAACUUGUUAUGCACAGACGCAGACUUAAAAUAUGUGCUUAGUAAGUUGUUACGUCUCCGUGCUCAAAUGUAUGACAUGAUGGAAAUGGUCAAGUAUAAGAAUAUCAUGCCCAAAGCUACAAUGAGAUGUGUGUAUAAAGUAUUGAAGAGGUUCACACGAGCUGCAUCUUUAGCAAUUGCUUGUCCUGCAUAAAAUUCAUAAAAUGUUUUACAUCUACUAAGCAAGUAGACUUAUGAUAUAAGUUCAAAAAACAACGUAAUAAAACUCGUGCAUGUUUUA